rnacentral:rRNA from 1 species
ACUAGCCCGCUACCCAGAUAAUCUAAAACCAAUUCACUAACCCAAAACAUUUUUCGAGCUAAGUAUAGGAGAUAGAAAAGAACCCCAGGAGCUAUAGAGACAGUACCGCAAGGGAAAGUUUAAAAUACCAAGUUAAAUAAAGCAAAGAUAGACCCUUGUACCUUUUGAAUAAUGGUUUAACUAGUCCAAACAAGCUAAAAGAGCUAAGCUUUUUACCCCGAAAUCAAGUGAGCUACUUAUAAGCGUACAGAAAUAAUUCGGCUCUGUGGCAAAAGAGCGAAAAGACUAAUAAGUAGAGGCGAAACACCUACCGAACAUGAAGAUAGCUGGUUACUUAUUAAACGAAUCUAAGUUCUACCUUAACUCACCCAACCCUCCUUAAACAAAGAGAAAUGAAAGAUUUAAGAGAUAUUUAAUAGGGGUACAGCCCUAUUAAAAUAGGAAACAGCCUAUACAAGAGGAAAGAGAAUUACACCAGACCGUAGGCCUUAAAGCAGCCACCAAAAUAUAAAGCGUUAAAGCUAAUUAACACCAACACCAACCUUUUUAAUCCAACCCUAAACAACAAUAAGUCAUACUAUAAUAAUAUAACAGAAUUAAUGUUAAAAUGAGUAACAAGAAAAAGAUUUCUCCGUGCAUCCGCAUAAGCCAGACUAGACAACCUACUGGUCAUUACACAAUAAUUAAUAUUACACAACGAGCAAUAAUAUUAAUCUAACUGUUAACCCAACACAGGCAUGCACCUAGGAAAGAUUAAACUCACCAGAAGGAACUCGGCAACACCGGGCCCCGACUGUUUACCAAAAACAUAACCUUUAGCUAAUCAAGUAUUAAAGGCGCCUCCUGCCCAGUGAAAAUUAAACGGCCGCGGUAUUCUGACCGUGCAAAGGUAGCGUAAUCAAUUGUCUCCUAAAUGAAGACUAGUAUGAACGGAGAAACGAGGGCCCAACUGUCUCCUGGCGAAAAUCAGUGAAAUUGAUCCCCUUGUGCAAAAGCAAGGAUAAAACCAUAAGACGAUAAGACCCCGUGGAGCUUAAACAUCAGAGUCAAUUAUACAUGUUGAAUCCACCAGGAAUAAAAUCAAAAAAUGACCCCCUCUGUUUUGGCUGGGGCGGCCUCGGAAUAAAAAAAAACUUCCGAAAACCUCAUUUAGACCAACAAGUCAAAACAUAAAAUACUUGACCCAAUAUUAUUGAUUAUUGAACCAAGUUACCCCAGGGAUAACAGCGCCAUCCCCUUCGAGAGCCCAUAUCGACAAGGGAGAUUACGACCUCGAUGUUGGAUCAGGACAUCCUAGUGGUGCAACCGCUACUAAGGGUUCGUUUGUUCAACGAUUAACAGUCCUACGUGAUCUGAGUUCAGACCGGAGCAAUCCAGGUCGGUUUCUAUCUAUGACAUACUAUUUCCAGUACGAAAGGAUCGAAACAGUAGGGCAUAACCGCAAGCAAGCCCUGCCCUUAAUUAAUGAAACAAAAUAAAUUAAUUAACUGGGAUCUCCCCCACGCCCUAAACCAGGGCU